rnacentral:lncRNA from 1 species
UGAUAUAUUUAUCUUUUUGUUGUGAAAACCUACUCUCUUUCAGAACCGUUUGUAGGUAGAUUACCCCAAAGUCUUGGGUCAAUUCCUAACAGCUACAGUAACGUGUCGGUUCUUGAUUGUUCAAUCUUGACCGAUUUUGUGGUUCUUAUUCUGCGUUCAUAAUUCAAAAUACUUGCAAGAUUUUGUGGUUCUUAUUCUGCGUUCAUAAUUCAAAAUACUUGCAACAUGGAUUCUUCGGCACAUUAAAAAAUCGGUAUGAUAUACUUGACUGUUCUUGACCCUAAUGGAUAUGCAUAGUGGAAAUUAGGUUUUCAAUAUCAUUCAAUAAGAGUUAUUUAUUUUUGCAUCUCAUGUCAUUAAAGUAGGUGAAGGGGCAGAAUGUUAAUGUCUUCUUUUCUCAAAAUCAUAAGUAUGAAUUUUGUAUUAUUUUGUAGUAUAGAAUAUAGAUGGUGAUUUUGAGAUUUGAAAUUGGGAUGGUAGGAUAUUACCCCUAAAUGAAAUUACUAUUUGAAUUUGUUAGUUAUAUAUUUGAAAAAUAUGGACCGUGUCCGGAUGGUUUACUCUCAUAGUCUCAUUCAGAGAAUGACAAAAAAAGUUCAAAUGAGGAAAUAUAGAGACAACAAAAAAGGUAGUGAAAGAGAAUUGGAAACAUAAAAUUAAUGAGAGCAAAUGAAAAGAUUAGUGUGUCAGUGUUGGUCUAAAUUAUUCAACGAACCCUACUAAACUAUUGUGGUUGUUAGAUUUUGCACACUAUAUACUGUCGUUGAGCUUCUUAUAGUUGAAUCUUGAGGUUUUGUUAUAAGAUCUCACUGCUUUCAAAUUACUUGAAGUGGUUUACUCUUAUUGACAUAAUGUCAUAGGUGCAAGCUCUUUCUCAACAAUUUGUUAUUUACCCUACAUGUAAUCACUAUAUAAAUGUAAUCACUAUAUGAAAUUUGUAUUCAUAGCGUGAAGUGUACACGAUGUACUAGAGAUUUGAUAACUCUUUCGAAAAUUGAGAUGACAAUCCUAAAAAGUUCACGAUGUGAAUUUUGUAUUGAUAAUGUGAAAUGUGGACAAUGUUCUUGAAGCUUAAUGAUGUUUUAAAAAUUGAGAUGGUAAAAUUGUAGUUAUUGACCCUAAAUGAAAUUGUUGAAUUUUGCACUGAUAGUGUGAAAUGUGGACGAUGUUUUUGAGAAGUCCAUUUCAAAAAUCGAGAUGGUAUAAUUGGAGGUUAUUAUGAACUUUGUGUUCAUAGCGUGAAGUGUAGUCGAUGUACUUGAGACUUGAUCACCCUUUCGAAAAUUGAGAUGACAAUCCUAAAAAGUUCACUAUGUGAAUUUUGUAUUGAUAAUGUGAAAUGUAGGCAAUGUUCUUGAAGCUUAAUGAUGCUUUAAAAAUUGAGAUGGUAAAAUUGUAGUUAUUGACCCUAAAUGAAACUGCUUAAUUUUGCACUGAUAGUGUGAAAUGUGGACGAUAUUUUUGAGAAGUCCCUUUCAAAAAUUGAGAUGGUAUAAUUGGAGGUUAUUUAUUCUAAAUAUAAUCACUAUAUGAACUUUGUGUUCAUAGCGUGAAGUGUAGACGAUGUACUUGAGACUUGAUUGCUCUUUCGAAAAUUGAGAUGACAAUCCUAAAAAGUUCACCAUGUGAAUUUUGUAUUGAUAAUGUGAAAUGUAGACAACGUUCUUGAAGCUUAAUGAUGCUUUAAAAAUUGAGAUGGUAAAAUUGUAGUUAUUGACCCUAAAUGAAAUUGCUGAAUUUGCACUGAUAGUGUGAAAUGUGGACGAUGUUCUUGAGAAGUCCCUUUCAAAAAUCGAAAUGGUAUAAUUGAAGGUUAUUUAUUCUAAAUAUAAUCACUAUAUGAACUUUGUGUUCAUAGCGUGAAGUGUAGACGAUGUACUUCAGACUUGAUCACCCUUUCGAAAAUUGAGAUGGCAAUCCUAAAAAGUUACCGAUGUGAAUUUUGUAUUGAUAACGUGUAAUGUAGACAAUGUUCUUGAAGCUUAAUGAUGCUUUAAAAAUUGAUAUGGUAAAAUUGUAGUUAUUGAUCCUAAAUGAAAUUGUUGAAUUUUGCAGUGAUAGUGUGAAAUGUGGACGAUGUUCUUGAGAAGUCCUUUCAAAAAUCGAGAUGGUGUAAUUGGAGGUUAUUUAUUCUAAAUAUAAUCAUUAUAUGAACUUUGUGUUCAUAGCGUGAAGUGUAGACGAUAUACUUGAAACUUGAUCACCCUUUCGAAAAUUGAGAUGGCAAUCCCAAAAAGUUCACGAUGUGAAUUUUGUAUUGAUAAUGUGAAAUGUAGCCAAUGUUCUUAAAGGUUAAUGAUGCUUUAAAAAUUGAGAUGAUAAAAUUGUAGUUAUUGACCCUAAAUGAAAUUGUUGAAUUUUGCACUGAUAGUGUGAAAUGUGGACAAUGUUCUUGAGAAGUCCCUUUCAAAAAUCGAGAAGGUAUAAUCGGAGGUUAUUUAUUCUAAAUAUAGUCACUAUAUGAACUUUGUGUUCAUAGCGUGAAGUGUAGACGAUGUACUUGAGACUUGAUCACUCUUUCGAAAAUUGAGAUGACAAUCCUUAAAAGUUCACGAUGUGAAUUUUGUAUUGAUAAUGUGAAAUGUAGCCAAGGUUCUUGAAGCUUAAUGAUGCUUUAAAAAUUGAGAUGGUAAAAUUGUAGUUAUUGAUCCUAAAUGAAAUUGCUG